UGCAAGUCGAGGGGCAGCGGGAUUGAAGCUUGCUUCAAUCGCCGGCGACCGGCGCACGGGUGAGUAACGCGUAUCCAACCUUCCGUACACUCAGGGAUAGCCUUUCGAAAGAAAGAUUAAUACCUGAUGGUAUCUUAAGCACACAUGUAAUUAAGAUUAAAGAUUUAUCGGUGUACGAUGGGGAUGCGUUCCAUUAGGUAGUAGGCGGGGUAACGGCCCACCUAGCCUACGAUGGAUAGGGGUUCUGAGAGGAAGGUCCCCCACAUUGGAACUGAGACACGGUCCAAACUCCUACGGGAGGCAGCAGUGAGGAAUAUUGGUCAAUGGACGAGAGUCUGAACCAGCCAAGUAGCGUGAAGGAUGAAGGUCCUACGGAUUGUAAACUUCUUUUAUAAGGGAAUAAACCCUCCCACGUGUGGGAGCUUGUAUGUACCUUAUGAAUAAGCAUCGGCUAACUCCGUGCCAGCAGCCGCGGUAAUACGGAGGAUGCGAGCGUUAUCCGGAUUUAUUGGGUUUAAAGGGAGCGCAGACGGGUCGUUAAGUCAGCUGUGAAAGUUUGGGGCUCAACCUUAAAAUUGCAGUUGAUACUGGCGUCCUUGAGUGCGGUUGAGGUGUGCGGAAUUCGUGGUGUAGCGGUGAAAUGCUUAGAUAUCACGAAGAACUCCGAUUGCGAA
rnacentral:rRNA from 1 species